GCGCGCCAGAUUGUGGCUCUGGAGGCCGAGGGUUCGAAUCCCUCUAUCCACC
rnacentral:tRNA from 1 species